rnacentral:tmRNA from 1 species
GGGGCUGAUUGGCUUUCGACAGGAGUGAAGAGGCUUAGGUGCAUGUGAGCUAGCACGCUCUAAAACUGCUACAUUUAUAAACGCAAACAACGCAAAUUACGCUCCAGCCUACGCAAGAGUAGCGUAGGUUUAUCGCUUUUUGGAGCCGACUUUAGUUUUAAUGCUAGCUAGAUUCUAAAGUCGUCAUUUGAGCUAGAUGCUCUCCUUGCACCGCCUUGGGCAGGGAGAAAAGACAAAAGGCUGCUUAUGGAUUAUCUUUGGGGUAUUGAGAUAGCCAUAAAAAGAUGUUAAUGCCUACUAAACAUGUAGAAGCCUAAGAAGCUCUCAUUUUUGGACUGGGGUUCAACUCCCCACAGCUCCACCA